GAUGAACGCUAGCUACAGGCUUAACACAUGCAAGUCGAGGGGCAGCAGGGAUUUAGCUUGCUAAAUCCGCUGGCGACCGGCGCACGGGUGCGUAACGCGUAUCCAACUUUCCCGUUACUCAGGGAUAGCCUUCCGAAAGGGAGAUUAAUACCUGAUGGUGUUUGAAGUUCGCAUGUUCUUCAAACUAAAGAUUUAUCGGUAACGGAUAGGGAUGCGUGACAUUAGAUAGUAGGCGGGGUAACGGCCCACCUAGUCUACGAUGUCUAGGGGUUCUGAGAGGAAGGUCCCCCACACUGGAACUGAGGCACGGUCCAGACUCCUACGGGAGGCAGCAGUGAGGAAUAUUGGUCAAUGGUCGGAAGACUGAACCAGCCAAGUAGCGUGAAGGAUGAAGGUUCUAUGGAUUGUAAACUUCUUUUAUAUAGGAAUAAAACCUCCCACGUGUGGGAGCUUGUAUGUACUAUAUGAAUAAGCAUCGGCUAACUCCGUGCCAGCAGCCGCAGUAAAAC
rnacentral:rRNA from 1 species